rnacentral:lncRNA from 1 species
GUGGUAGUCUAUAAGACAUAAUGAACAGGUGUGGUAGUCUAUAAGACAUAAUGAACAGGUGAGGUAGUCUCUAAGACAUAAUGAACAGGUGUGGUAGUCUCUAAGACAUAAUGAACAGGUGAGGUAGUCUCUAAGACAUAAUGAACAGGUGAGGUAGUCUCUAAGACAUAAUGAACAGGUGUGGUAGUCUCUAAGACAUAAUGAACAGGUGUGGUAGUCUCUAAGACAUAAUGAACAGGUGAGGUAGUCUAUAAGACAUAAUGAACAGGUGUGGUAGUCUAUAAGACAUAAUGAACAGGUGAGGUAGUCUCUAAGACAUAAUGAACAGGUGAGGUAGUCUCUAAGACAUAAUGAACAGGUGUGGUAGUCUCUAAGACAUAAUGAACAGGUGUGGUAGUCUCUAAGACAUAAUGAACAGGUGUGGUAGUCUAUAAGACAUAAUGAACAGGUGUGGUAGUCUAUAAGACAUAAUGAACAGGUGAGGUAGUCUCUAAGACAUAAUGAACAGGUGAGGUAGUCUAUAAGACAUAAUGAACAGGUGUGGUAGUCUCUAAGACAUAAUAAACAGGUGAGGUAGUCUCUAAGACCUAAUGAACAGGUGUGGUAGUCUCUAAGACAUAAUGAACAGGUGUGGUAGUCUGUUUUGUGGGUUUGUUCUAUCUGAGCUCCACCAUGUCUCUCUCCAGCUCUCUGAGCUCCACCAUGUCUCUCUCCAGCUCUCUGAGCUCCACCAUGUCUCUCUCCAGCUCUCUGAGCUCCACCAUGUCUCUCUCUCCAGCUCUCGGAGCUCCACCAUGUCUCUCUCCAGCUCUCUGAGCUCCACCAUGUCUCUCUCCAGCUCUCUGAGCUCCACCAUGUCUCUCUCUCCAG